rfam:Oleiphilus sp. HI0009 HI0009_c34, whole genome shotgun sequence.
UGCCCUAUAGCUCAGUUGGUAGAGUGAUGCACUGUUAAUGCAUUGGUCGCUGGUUCGAAGCCAGCUAGGGCAG